AUCAGAGGGACAAAAGUUGACGAGACGCAGUACACACGCCAGGGACAUUCCUCCAGCAAAUCAAUCCGUUUGUUAACUGUAACUUGAACAGUGCAACGGUUCAAAGUUCAUCCAAAGCUGCGAAGGGAAAGCCAUAACUUUCACAGAAUCAUCAAUCCCGAGCAAAAAAGGAAGGGAAGGAAAGAGAACACCAUUUGCCAAGCCCCGGCAAGAAGGGAUUUAUUUGCUCAGUUAUGUUGGAAGACUAAAAGCAAAUGUCUGAUCUGCCGAGGGAAACGCAGUUCUGCAAGGAAGGACUGGCAUAAACGAACAGAGUUCUCUAUCAGAAGGAACUAAGGAAGAGAAAGAGAUCACUUAUGGGAAUUGCUCUGUCAACUUAAACGGGGAAAUAUCUCGAACCUCAAGAACUUCAAAGGGGUAAAGAAAAUGUCAUAAGCAGGAGGCAGACUUGCAGCAUGAUAGACUUCAGUGAAUCGGGCAGCAGAAAGUUGGCAACAGCACUAAAACACAACGUGAUGGAUUUGAGAACUGUGUGAACCAAAACUUGGACAAGAAUCAAGUCUAAACUAAGCUUCUUAAUCACAAGGUCGCUGAAUAUUAAGACGCAUCAUCAACAGAGGUUUGAUUAUAUAGAAGACACUCCCUACCACAA